UAUUUUCUAUAAAUGAUUGUACUAGAGUACUAAGAACAAUAGUUUAAAACUCAAAAGACUUGGCGGCAAGUUUAAACUUUCAGGGGAGCCUGUUUUUGAACCGAUAAUCCACGUUUUACCUUACUUCUUAAAGCAGUUUGUUUAUUGCCGUUUAGCUAACACUAUAAAAGUUAAAAGAAGUUAGCUACAAAGAUAUUUAUCUUUUAUAUCAGGUCGUGGUGCAGCCUAUGAAGAAGUUAAAAUGGGCUACAAUAUAUAAAUUUAUACGGAUUAAAAAUUGAAAUAUUUUUAUGAAGGUGGACUUGAAAAUAAAUUUAAGUAGAGGAAAAUAGAUUGAAUUCUUCUUAGACUGUG
rnacentral:rRNA from 1 species